rfam:Hymenolepis nana genome assembly, scaffold: HNAJ_scaffold0003216
AGCUCAGUUGUCUAGAGGUAUGUUUCUCGCUUUGGGUGCGAGAGGUCCUGGGUUCAAAUCCCAGAUGAGCCC